UUUAUACUUCUUCCGUCCCAAAAUUCUUGUCUUAUAUUUGUCUACAUAUGAAUGUAUCUAGUCACGUUUUANNNNUUAGAUACAUUCAUUUCUAGACAAACUUACAAGAAUUUUAAGACGGAGGGAGUACUAA
rfam:Hordeum vulgare subsp. vulgare, WGS project CAJW01000000 data, contig: morex_contig_10018